rnacentral:lncRNA from 1 species
CCCAAAGGUGCAAUUCUGAAGUUUCCAUUUGCCAUGAAAGGAAGAGGAGGGAGAAGUCUCAUCCUGAUGGCUCAAAACUGGAGAAUGGCCAGGGAAGGUGAAAAGGGGAGAAACUUUACUCCAGACUAGGGAAGAAAUCAGGUUGAGUUAGGAAGGCAUGAUAUCAUUGGUGAAUGGGAAAGAGUCCAGGUGUAGAGCGGGCUCCAGAAAGCUGAGAGCAGAAUGUAGGCAUAGCUUCAGGUGUGGCUUGAUCCAGCUCUCCAUCUCUCAGCUUUUAGUGUUAUUGACUUUCUUCUCUGUCUUCUUAUGCUGUUCAUGGGACAGAAGAAAAAUAACAACAAACAGGAGGCAGGAUGGAUGGAAGAAAUCUGGGGAAAGGGAACUGCAUUCUAAACCCAGAUCACCUUUGAGGAUUCUCCCAGAGAAAAGUAUGAGACUGUUUCUGAGCUUGAGCCUUGAGACUUUCUGGUCUCAUUUUACAGGACAGAAAAAACCCAGAAACCACCACUAGAACGAGAUUCCUGAACUCCAAAACCGGGUAACAGAAUGUACAUUAAUCUGGAUCCCUCGUAUGGGAUAAAUAUCCUGGACAGGCUGAAGAGCUCAUAUAUAUGAAAUUGGUGUACAGGAUUAUGGAGAGCCAAUGGAGAACCAGGAGAGCCAAUGC